rnacentral:rRNA from 1 species
CAAUCGGAAUCAGGCCGAAAGGCCUGCGCCAGCGAUGGCCGGUUGCGAGGUGCUGCAUGGUUGUCGUCAGCUCGUGCCGUGAGGUGUCGGGUUAAGUCCCAUAACGAGCGCAACCCCUACUGCUAGUUGCCAGCGGGUUAUGCCGGGGACUCUAGCGGAACUGCCAGCGUAAGCUGCGAGGAAGGUGGGGAUGACGUCAAAUCAGCACGGCCCUUACGUCCAGGGCUACACACGUGUUACAAUGGCCAGUACAGAGGCAGCCACCCCGCGAGGGGGCGCUAAUCCUAAAAGCUGGUCCCAGUUCGGAUCGGAGUCUGCAACCCGACUCCGUGAAGCUGGAUUCGCUAGUAAUCGCGCAUCAGCCACGGCGCGGUGAAUACGUUCCCGGGCCUU